rnacentral:rRNA from 1 species
UGCAGUCGAGGGGCAGCAUGAACUUAGCUUGCUAAGUUUGAUGGCGACCGGCGCACGGGUGAGUAACGCGUAUGCAACUUGCCUAUCAGAGGAGAAUAGCUCAUCGAAAGAUGAAUUAAUGCUCCAUAAAACAGGGGUCCCGCAUGGGAAUAUUUGUUAAAGAUUCAUCGCUGAUAGAUAGGCAUGCGUUCCAUUAGGCAGUUGGCGGGGUAACGGCCCACCAAACCGGCGAUGGAUAGGGGUUCUGAGAGGAAGGUCCCCCACAUUGGUACUGAGACACGGACCAAACUCCUACGGGAGGCAGCAGUGAGGAAUAUUGGUCAAUGGCCGAGAGGCUGAACCAGCCAAGUCGCGUGAAGGAUGAAGGAUCUAUGGUUUGUAAACUUCUUUUAUACGGGAAUAAAGUGAGCCACGUGUGGCUUUUUGUAUGUACCGUAUGAAUAAGCAUCGGCUAACUCCGUGCCAGCAGCCGCGGUAAUACGGAGGAUGCGAGCGUUAUCCGGAUUUAUUGGGUUUAAAGGGUGCGUAGGUGGUCUUUUAAGUCAGCGGUGAAAGUUUGUGGCUCAACCAUAAAAUUGCCAUUGAAACUGGGAGACUUGAGUAUGUUUGAGGUAGGCGGAAUGCGUGGUGUAGCGGUGAAAUGCAUAGAUAUCACGCAGAACUCCGAUUGCGAAAGGCAGCUUGCCAAGCCAUAACUGACACUGAAGCACGAAAGCGUGGGUAUCAAAC